UUAUAAAGUUUUAUAAAAUUAAAAUAUAUUUUACACUAAACGUUUGUUAAUUAUUUGGACUUGAAUUGUUUAAAUACUCGUAUGUAAACUAUUCCUACAUACUCCUAUUGGACCCACCUUAUUUCAUUUAAAUAGGCCCAAUUUUUUUAUAUGAACCCUUGUGGGUCAAAUAUUUCAUAACUCAAGCUCACUUAUUUAUUAAACCCAAACCUACUCUCUAUUCUCUACUCAUAAAUACCUCCCAAAACCCCAAAAUUUCCCACACAAAGAGGCUCAAAAUCAGAUUUUAUCAAAUUAAUUAUCCUUUUCUUUCUUUUUCUCUUUUCCUCCUUUUCUUAUUCUUUCUUUUCCUUUUCUUUUGUUCCCUGAUGUGUGCUUGAGGUUGUGCAUGGGUGCCUUCCACCUUGCCACAUCAUCACUUGAUGCACCACCUACCACGUCAUUCCUACCGGCGACCCGCCUCAUCACCACUACCGCACCAACGAUCAGCCGGCCAGCCACCUUGGCCGAGACCUUAAGUUUGAUUGGUUUCUACCAUAUAUUGUGGCUAGUUGGAAAGACGGUCUAAGCUACUUUAGCAUAAGAGGACAAAAAUCAUUAAUGUUCCACUAUAGAGGCAACACAAGCAUAUGAAGUUGGGAAUGAAAAGCAGCAGUGCAACAAGAAAAAGACUAUUAAGAUAGUACUUGUAAUUCAAGUGUUAUAUAAGGAAAAGGGUAGGAGUAGGAAGGCAUGUCUUUGUGAAUUGAGAUUGACAGCCUAAAGUUGUUUAGAGAGUGAUAACCUAAAGUUAUCUUUGGCUGGAGAGUGAUAGCCUAAAGCUAUCAAGUUAUCUUGUUCCUUUGAGUAUUUUCCCUUCUUUAUGAAAUUAGUCACUUGCUUGCUGCUAUCA